rnacentral:rRNA from 1 species
CGCGUAGGCGGCCUGCUAAGUCUGGAGUGAAAGUCCUGCUUUCAAGGUGGGAAUUGCUUUGGAUACUGGCGGGCUGGAGUGCAGGAGAGGAAAGCGGAAUUACCGGUGUAGCGGUGAAAUGCGUAGAGAUCGGUAGGAACACCAGUGGCGAAGGCGGCUUUCUGGACUGUAACUGACGCUGAGGCGCGAAAGCGUGGGAGCAAACA